CUAGAAUAACUCGAAUAUGCCCGGAAAUUUCGAACACAAAUGGACUGAAUAUGCAUCAUGGUUGCUACUGGUUUUUCAGGUGGUCGUGAGGGAUGAGAAGAUGAGGCAGGAGUGACGGGGCUGGCUGUGCUUGUUGGCGGUCGACGUGAAGGCUGUGAAGCUGGACGUGAGGUUGACGAAGGUGACUGGUUCGUUGGUCGUUUGGAGGACGAAUAUGAUCGAUGAAACAGAAAUGGUGAUGAUGUCCGCUGCUGUCCAGCGAACUCUGGUGGCGUGAGGAUGGUCCAAUUAGUGAGGGUGACGACAGGGAUGGUUUGUCCGUCAUUACUGGAGGCGGAUCGAUGCAGCAGCAGAAAGCUGGUUUCUAUGGCUGUGGUGGUUCAUUCAGGUGCGGUUUGGGAUGGUGAGCAGCAUCAUGAGGCUGGAGGGGUCGUUUGGGAGUGUGGGUUGUUUGACGUGGGUGGUUAUUAGGGUGGUUCACGGUUUAGGGGGGUGUUUUUGGAGAAGAUGAGUAGGGGGUUUGUGUUUUUGC
rnacentral:lncRNA from 1 species